AAGAAAUUAUUAUAUGAAUGUGUGUGUGUGUGUGGAUCAAUGUGCAAUUAUUUGAAAGUAGUGAGAGGCCUCAUUCGCACCUAUAUACACAAGGUUUGAAUUUUAUAGGAAAAUUCAUUUUUAACUAAGAUAUAGCAAUGAAGUUUUGUAAAAGAGGUUUUUCAAACCCUGUGCUCAAUAGGAAUUGAGACCUUUACAUACUUCCAUUUUUAUUGUUAAAUGUCUGGCUUGUUUGCUUUUAUUUUCGAGAUGCGAAGCAUUCUCGAGAAAAUAAUAUACAGUAGUGUCGAACUCCUCAUGGG
rnacentral:lncRNA from 1 species